rnacentral:rRNA from 1 species
UACAGAGGUCUCGAGCGUUAAUCGGAGUCACUGGGCUUAAAGGGUGCGUAGGCUGUUCUAUAAGUGCCUUGUGAAAUCCCACCGCUCAACGGUGGAAUUGCUCGGUAGACUAUAGAACUUGAGGUUGGUAGGGGCUGCCGGAACUCUAGGUGGAGCGGUGAAAUGCGUAGAUAUCUAGAGGAACGCCAAAGGUGAAGACAGGCAGCUGGGCCAAUACUGACGCUCAUGCACGAAAGCGUGGGGAGCAAACAGG